AACGAACGCUGGCGGCGUGCCUAACACAUGCAAGUCGAGCGGACCGCAAGGGGCAACUCGAGCGGUUAGCGGCGGACGGGUGAGUAACACGUGGGUGACCUACCUGGGCGACCGGGAUAACAUCCCGAAAGGGGUGCUAAUACCGGAUACGCUCCCGGGGGCGCAAGCCUCGGGGAGGAAAGGUGGCGCAAGCUGCCGCUCCCAGACGGGCCCGCGGCCCAUUAGCUAGUUGGCGGGGUAACGGCCCACCAAGGCGAUGAUGGGUAGCCGGUCUGAGAGGAUGGCCGGCAACACGGGGACUGAGACACGGCCCCGACUCCUACGGGAGGCAGCAGUGGGGAAUCUUCCGCAAUGGGCGAAAGCCUGACGGAGCAACGCCGCGUGGGGGACGAAGGCCUUCGGGUCGUAAACCCCUGUCAUGGGGAAAGAAGGGCACCGGGGUGAACAGCCUCGGUGUCUGACGGUACCUCAAGAGGAAGCCACGGCCAACUCCGUGCCAGCCGCCGCAGUAACAC
rnacentral:rRNA from 1 species